UAACCUGCACAAACAUUUUCAAGUAAUAAUUUACACCUCCAACUUAAUCAUAUACAAUAAACAUACAUAAUCAGGAUUUCAUAUACAUCUACAUGAACUUACUGUAGCUGCUGAUCUCAGAAGAUUUGCAGAAAAAGGAAAGAAAAACCAGAGAGACAAAAGGAGAGGCAGAGCAUUACAGACUAUAGAGGCAGAGAUACUUACAAUAUACAUAUACAAAGUUGGUAGCAGGAGAAAGGUAAUUGGGGGAUGGGAUAUAUAAAAAGGGAGUCGUUAAAAGCAGAGAGAGGAGGAAGACAAAAGAAAGUCCAUGGAGAAAGAGAAAAGACAGGUACUGGAGAAGGCGGCAGGCAAACAAGGCUUAGGCUUUCCUUUCUUAUUUCUUAAUAUAACAAAUAGUUCCAUACAUACAGCCAAACCUGCCUGGGUUUUACAGGUACUCUCUUUUGGAUUUUCUUUUCCCCUUGGAAAAGGUGAUAUAUCCUUGCCCCCCAGAAAAUUUCUUUUUCUUUUUGUUUCAACUUUUCCUGUUUUCGUUGUCAAUUUCUUUUCUUUAAUUAAUUAGUUUCCUAUUUCACCAUUUUUUUAUUUCAAAAUAUUAUAGUUUACUUUUUUUUAUUUUAUUUUUUCUGAAACAGGAGUUACAUUAAUUGCGAAAAUAAGAUGAUAAGGGGGGGUGUGUUUAACGGCUUUUGAUGGGUUUGCAGAGGGGGCCAGAAAACAACCAGUGAAUAAGACAAAGGCCAGAGUUGCAGCAGGGUGCGUUAGCUGAGUCUAAGCUUUGGUUGGUUCCUCAAUAGUGAAACUGAAAUACAUGUAUGGACGAAACACUAUAAUAAUUAAAAUAUUUUAAAACCCACUCCAAAUUUAACAUAUUCUUCAAUUCUCCUCCCUCUCAAAUUAGUUGAAAUAGUAUAAAAAUCCUGUAAAAGAAACUACUGUUUCUGUUGGACUUUUUCCUCUUUCUAGAGUAUACUUUUGGUAGAUUUUUCUGAAUAAUCAUACAUGGAUAUUGAAUUACAAAAUUAAAAAAAAAAUUAAUUAAUUAAUCUUUUCAAUUGUCGUUUAAGAUAA